GCUAAGGCCCUUUGCUGUUUGCACUGCAUUUACCCCAGUGGCUUUUGACUCCGGGGGUUACCCAGGCACCACCACAACAAAGCAAUAACAAGCUGCACUUACUCUCUCAGCACAGGCCAGAGCAAAGUUCUCUGUAAGCCCAGCUGAGGCUUUUGAAACAGCAGCAAGGAAGGUUGCUGCUUGCUGCUGCCUACUUUCCACGCCUCACCUCCUCUCCUGCCCUCCCCGGCCUGUGCUUAGAAGGAAAACACAGGGCCCCUGAUUUUUCUGGUUUUCUUAUCACAGAUACCGCUUGGGUUGUAGGACUCGAGCGUUGUUCUCUCAUCCCUAGGGAGGAGUUUACAUCGUCAUUUCUCAGCAGCCGUUCCAAUGACAAGUCCCUGCCCCAACGGCUGCAACUGGCAGGGAGGGCGAGCCAUUGUGCAGCCUUUGAAAUUUGGCAUCAAGCUUGCGCUGGCUCCCAACCGCCUGCAAAGCAGCCCCAGCUCAUUCAUAUAUCCAUGUCAGGCAGACAAAGCGCAGGGCUGAAUUGGCAAGAAAUCCCGAGCCAGAUAUAUGACACAAAGAGGUGCAAUUCUAGACUCCCCUAACGCUGGCAGCAAAGGAUGGAAAGUGCAGCAGUGAUUCACACGAGCACUACCUGAAAAGGCCUUUGAAGAGGGGCUCUGGCCAAGCUGAUAGCAGCCACAGCCCGAUUUGUGUCACCCAGACAUAUCACGCAGUGCUCAGCCCCCUGCUCUCCCUAUCAGCUCUGCGCCUGUCAACAGAUCGAGAAGCACCAGCAGCCUGCUCUCCGAGGAGCUGGCAAACAAGCGGAGGCAGACUGACACGGAGACGUGAGAAAGAGCAGCCCCAUCCCCUCCUCCAGGCUUCAGAACAAAGAUGCUUGCGGUUUGUUAUAAAGAUGCUUCUUCCUUUGGUUUUCAAGCACUGGUGCCUACUUGAAAAGGCACGUUCAACUCCGAGCCCUUUGCACUUGUCAGCACCCUUUUCAGCUGUCACCUCCCUCUAAGCCUUCCUGUACUCACGCCCUCCCCCACUACUAAUUAAACUAGAUCUUACAAAACAAUAUUUUGACAAAAGCGAUGAGCUUUAUGCACUACAGACCGUGAAAUGCCUAGAGCAGGAGUCUCGUCUUUCUCCCACAGUUUCUGAAAUAUCAUAAAAAUGAUUAUUAUACAUAUAAUUAGAGUAGGCUUCAGCCUUAAUAUUUUUUCACCAAUAUUUCUAACUAUAAACUAAUUUCUGAUAGGAAUAAAAACUUCAUAGCGUGGGGCA
rnacentral:lncRNA from 1 species